rnacentral:rRNA from 1 species
GACGAACGCUGGCGGCGUGCUUAACACAUGCAAGUCGAACGGAAAGGCCCUGCUUUUGUGGGGUGCUCGAGUGGCGAACGGGUGAGUAACACGUGAGUAACCUGCCCUUGACUUUGGGAUAACUUCAGGAAACUGGGGCUAAUACCGGAUAGGAGCUCCUGCUGCAUGGUGGGGGUUGGAAAGUUUCGGCGGUUGGGGAUGGACUCGCGGCUUAUCAGCUUGUUGGUGUGGUAGUGGCUUACCAAGGCUUUGACGGGUAGCCGGCCUGAGAGGGUGACCGGCCACAUUGGGACUGAGAGACGGCCCAGACUCCUACGGGAGGCAGAAGUGGGGAAUAUUGCACAAUGGGCGGAAGCCUGAUGCAGCAACGCCGCGUGCGGGAUGACGGCCUUCGGGUUGUAAACCGCUUUCGCCUGUGACGAAGCGUGAGUGACGGUAAUGGGUAAAGAAGCACCGGCUAACUACGUG